GAUGAACGCUGGCGGCGUGCCUAACACAUGCAAGUCGAACGGUCAUGAAUAAUGACAGUGGCGCACGGGUGAGUAACACGUGGCUAAUCUGCCCUCGAGAGUGGGAUAACUUCCCGAAAGGGAUGCUAAUACCGCAUAAGCUCACGCGAAGUAGAGACGAGUGAGAAAAGGAGCAAUCCGCUUGAGGAGGAGGUCGCGGCCCAUCAGGUAGUUGGUGAGGUAAAGGCUCACCAAGCCGACGACGGGUAGGGGGCCUGAGAGGGUGGUCCCCCACACUGGGACUGAGACACGGCCCAGACUCCUACGGGAGGCAG
rnacentral:rRNA from 1 species